rnacentral:rRNA from 1 species
CCUACGGGAGGCAGCAGUGAGGAAUAUUGGUCAAUGGACGAGAGCCUGAACCAGCCAAGUAGCGUGAAGGAUGACUGCCCUAUGGGUUGUAAACUUCUUUUAUAUGGGAAUAAAAUGUUCCACGUGUGGGAUUUUGUAUGUACCAUAUGAAUAAGGAUCGGCUAACUCCGUGCCAGCAGCCGCGGUAAUACGGAGGAUCCGAGCGUUAUCCGGAUUUAUUGGGUUUAAAGGGAGCGUAGGUGGUUUGUUAAGUCAGUUGUGAAAGUUUGCGGCUCAACCGUAAAAUUGCAGUUGAAACUGGCAGUCUUGAGUACAGUAGAGGUAGGCGGAAUUCGUGGUGUAGCGGUGAAAUGCUUAGAUAUCACGAAGAACUCCGAUUGCGAAGGCAGCUCACUGGACUGCAACUGACACUGAGGCUCGAAAGUGUGGGUAUCAAACAGGAUUAGAUACCCGGGUAGUC